GACGAACGCUGGCGGCGUGCUUAACACAUGCAAGUCGAACGGAAAGGCCCUGCUUUUGUGGGGUGCUCGAGUGGCGAACGGGUGAGUAACACGUGAGUAACCUGCCCUUGACUUUGGGAUAACUUCAGGAAACUGGGGCUAAUACCGGAUAGGAGCUCCUGCUGCAUGGUGGGGGUUGGAAAGUUUCGGCGGUUGGGGUUGGACUCGCGGCUUAUCAGCUUGUUGGUGGGGUAGUGGCUUACCAAGGCUUUGACGGGUAGCCGGCCUGAGAGGGUGACCGGCCACAUUGGGACUGAGAUACGGCCGAGACUCCUACGGGAGGCAGCAGUGGGGAAUAUUGCACAAUGGGCGGAAGCCUGAUGCAGCAACGCCGCGUGCGGGAUGACGGCCUUCGGGUUGUAAACCGCUUUCGCCUGUGACGAAGCGUGAGUGACGGUAAUGGGUAAAGAAGCACCGGCUAACUACGUG
rnacentral:rRNA from 1 species